GGAUGUGGGGGACACAAACGAUUAUAACAUUUUGGUUUUCCCUAGUUUGUUGAAAUGACCAUAUAGCUUAAAACCCUCCUCUAACAAUCUAGUCUGAUUUAAUUAAUAAGCAUACAAGAUAAACUAUGUCAGUCUAAUUUUUUAACCACAUCAACCAUAUUAACAAAAAAUAUAAAUAGCUUAUAAACAAGAACAUAAAGCAAAUUUUGUUUGUUGUUUGUUUGUUUACACAUGAUCUUUUCAGUUUAGCCACCUCCUUUGGACACAAGACAUAGUACAUAGCAAAUGAUAUCUAAAGAUACUGGCUAAGUACUUUGAGUCUUAAGUACCUCCUGAUUUUCUCUGAACACCUGCUGAUGAUAGGAGUAACAAACAGGUCCCUCUCUUGUUUCAGACAUGGCCCAUGUCUCCUUUCUCUCCUUGGACAAGAUGAUGGAAAUGAGGGACUGGCUAGCCCCUGGGGGCCUGUUGGGUCUGGAUUGAAGAAAAGAGAACACCCAGCUUAUGGUCAGCCCUGGGUCACCCAGACGUGCACCCCUGACUUGACCUCUGCUCCUUUAAACACGUUUAUAAUCACCUUGUCCAGAUUUAUGGUGAUGCAGUUCUGCUUCUAAUGGGAGGUGCCAGGAGCCCUGUAACACUGCUGGAUAGAGUUACACAAGAGCAUGCAGUGAGACCUUGACCAAGGCGACCAUGGUCUUCUGAACAGGUGGACUUUUUGGGGUGUGAAAUAGCUGAAAUUGGCACUCUUUGCCUCUAAAUUGCACUUUUGCUUCCUGUGUCUCGACCUUCAGGUCCCUGACCCACAACUGCAAUGUAUUUUGUGUGACUAACAGCUGUAAUUCCCCAAUUAUCACGCUGUGUUGUCCAACUGCGCACAGGUUCAGUUACCAGGAGGCCGCAGCCAAGAGCUGGACCUCUGGGUGGAUCUCCCACCAGGAAGAGCCAGUCUUCCUCAUAGCUUCUUCUUGCUGCCUGGUACACUGCUCUGCUUUAUAUGGAAGAGAACUACAAAAUGUCAUCUACUGUAACCCAUUGCUUAUUAUUUUCCACUUAUUUGUAGUAGAACAUUCUAAAUAUUAGCAUUCUCAAAAAAAGUUUCUGUUGUAUGACUGCAAUGAAUUCUGUACAUUUGACCGAGCUUAUGUCUCAUGCCAUUACUGGGCUAUGAAAAGGAACAGAUAGCACUCUUAAAUAGAACAUUUGAGGUUUAUUUUCGCGUGUCAUGCUCACUUACUGUGUUAAUGCUUAUUGUUACUUCAUUGUUUAGUUAUUUAUUUAAAGCCCAUUAUUCUGUAAGUAUGUUAUUAAAUAAAACAAAUUGGGCAGUUCUGUGGUUCAGAGGUAUGAA